GACGAACGCUGGCGGCGUGCUUAACACAUGCAAGUCGAACGGAAAGGCCCUGCUUUUGUGGGGUGCUCGAGUGGCGAACGGGUGAGUAACACGUGAGUAACCUGCCCUUGACUUUGGGAUAACUUCAGGAAACUGGGGCUAAUACCGGAUAGGAGCUCCUGCUGCAUGGUGGGGGUUGGAAAGUUUCGGCGUUUGGGGAUGGACUCGCGGCUUAUCAGCUUGUUGGUGGGGUAGUGGCUUACCAAGGCUUUGACGGGUAGCCGGCCUGAGAGGGUGACCGGCCACAUUGGUACUGCGAUACGGCCCAGACUCCUACGGGAGGCAGCAGUGGGGAAUAUUGCACAAUGGGCGGAAGCCUGAUGCAGCAACGCCGCGUGCGGGAUGACGGCCUUCGGGUUGUAAACCGCUUUCGCCUGUGACGAAGCGUGAGUGACGGUAAUGGGUAAAGAAGCACCGGCUAACUACGUG
rnacentral:rRNA from 1 species